AGAAUCAACGCUGGCGGCGUGCCUAACACAUGCAAGUCGAACGAGAAAGUGGAGCAAUCCAUGAGUAAAGUGGCGCACGGGUGAGUAACACGUGACUAACCUACCCUUGAGUGGGGGAUAACCUAGAGAAAUCUGGGCUAAUACCGCAUAAUACCUUCGGGUCAAAGGAGCAAUUCGCUUAAGGAGGGGGUCGCGGCCGAUUAGUUAGUUGGCGGGGUAAUGGCCCACCAAGACUGUGAUCGGUAUCCGGCCUGAGAGGGCGCACGGACACACUGGAACUGAAACACGGUCCAGACUCCUACGGGAGGCAGCAGUGGGGAAUUUUGCGCAAUGGGGGAAACCCUGACGCAGCAACGCCGCGUGGAGGAUGAAGUCCCUUGGGACGUAAACUCCUUUCGAUCGGGACGAUUAUGACGGUACCGAGAGAAGAAGCCCCGGCUAACUUCGUGCCAGCAGCCGC
rnacentral:rRNA from 1 species